rnacentral:rRNA from 1 species
UACGUAGGGGGCUAGCGUUGUCCGGAAUCAUUGGGCGUAAAGCGCGCGUAGGCGGCCAGAUAAGUCCGGUGUGAAAGUCACAGGCUCAACCUGUGAAUGCCGCUGGAAACUGUCUGGCUAGAGUCCGGAAGGGGCGAGUGGAAUUCCUGGUGUAGCGGUGAAAUGCGCAGAUAUCAGGAGGAACACCAAUGGCGAAGGCAGCUCGCUGGAACGGUACUGA